rnacentral:pre_miRNA from 1 species
UCCCUGAGAUUUCAUAUAACCGGAGUUUCUGAUAUAUACUCCGUAUAUGAAUGAUCAGGUACC